UAACGUCGCGUGGAGGAUGACGGCCUUCGGGUUGUAAACUCCUUUUUUUGUGGGACGAUGAUGACGGUACCACAAGAAUAAGCCCCGGCUAACUACGUGU
rnacentral:rRNA from 1 species